rnacentral:rRNA from 1 species
GAUGAACGCUGGCGACGUGCCUAAUACAUGCAAGUCGAGCGAACGGACGAGAAGCUUGCUUCUCUGAUGUUAGCGGCGGACGGGUGAGUAACACGUGGAUAACCUACCUAUAAGACUGGGAUAACUUCGGGAAACCGGAGCUAAUACCGGAUAAUAUUUUGAACCGCAUGGUUCAAAAGUGAAAGACGGUCUUGCUGUCACUUAUAGAUGGAUCCGCGCUGCAUUAGCUAGUUGGUAAGGUAACGGCUUACCAAGGCAACGAUGCAUAGCCGACCUGAGAGGGUGAUCGGCCCCACUGGAACUGUGACCCGGUCCAGACUCCUACGGGAGGCAGCCGUAGGGAAUCUUCCGCAAUGGGCGAAAGCCUGACGGAGCAACGCCGCGUGAGUGAUGAAGGUCUUCGGAUCCUAAAACUCUGUUAUUAGGGAAGAACAUAUGUGUAAGUAACUGUGCACAUCUUGACGGUACCUAAUCAGAACGCCACGGCUAACUACGUG